rnacentral:SRP_RNA from 1 species
GCUGGGCAUGCUGGUGCAGCAUCUAUAGUCACAGCCUCUAGGAAGGCUGAGGCAGGAGAAUAGCCUGAGUCUAGGAGUUCUAGGCUACAUAGUGUGCUAUACUGAUUGGGUGCCCACACCAAGUUCAGCAUCAAUAUGGUGACCUUCCUGGAACUGAGGACCAACAGGUUGCCUAAGAAGUGGUGAGCUGGCCCAGGUCACAAACUCCAGCACCAAUCAGUAGUGAGAUCAUGCCUAUGAAUAGCUGAUGCACUCCUGAUGCACUCCUGAGCAAAAGAGCAAAAUAUCCAUCUCUU